UUAAAUUGAAGAGUUUGAUCAUGGCUCAGAUUGAACGCUGGCGGCAGGCCUAACACAUGCAAGUCGAACGGUAACAGAAAGCAGCUUGCUGCUUUGCUGACGAGUGGCGGACGGGUGAGUAAUGUCUGGGAAACUGCCUGAUGGAGGGGGAUAACUACUGGAAACGGUAGCUAAUACCGCAUAAUGUCGCAAGACCAAAGAGGGGGACCUUCGGGCCUCUUGCCAUCGGAUGUGCCCAGAUGGGAUUAGCUAGUAGGUGGGGUAACGGCUCACCUAGGCGACGAUCCCUAGCUGGUCUGAGAGGAUGACCAGCCACACUGGAACUGAGACACGGUCCAGACUCCUACGGGAGGCAGCAGUGGGGAAUAUUGCACAAUGGGCGCAAGCCUGAUGCAGCCAUGCCGCGUGUAUGAAGAAGGCCUUCGGGUUGUAAAGUACUUUCAGCGGGGAGGAAGGGAGUAAAGUUAAUACCUUUGCUCAUUGACGUUACCCGCAGAAGAAGCACCGGCUAACUCCGUGCCAGCAGCCGCGGUAAUACGGAGGGUGCAAGCGUUAAUCGGAAUUACUGGGCGUAAAGCGCACGCAGGCGGUUUGUUAAGUCAGAUGUGAAAUCCCCGGGCUCAACCUGGGAACUGCAUCUGAUACUGGCAAGCUUGAGUCUCGUAGAGGGGGUAGAAUUCCAGGUGUAGCGGUGAAAUGCGUAGAGAUCUGGAGGAAUACCGGUGGCGAAGGCGGCCCCCUGGACGAAGACUGACGCUCAGGUGCGAAAGCGUGGGGAGCAAACAGGAUUAGAUACCCUGGUAGUCCACGCCGUAAACGAUGUCGACUUGGAGGUUGUGCCCUUGAGGCGUGGCUUCCGGAGCUAACGCGUUAAGUCGACCGCCUGGGGAGUACGGCCGCAAGGUUAAAACUCAAAUGAAUUGACGGGGGCCCGCACAAGCGGUGGAGCAUGUGGUUUAAUUCGAUGCAACGCGAAGAACCUUACCUGGUCUUGACAUCCACAGAACUUUCCAGAGAUGGAUUGGUGCCUUCGGGAACUGUGAGACAGGUGCUGCAUGGCUGUCGUCAGCUCGUGUUGUGAAAUGUUGGGUUAAGUCCCGCAACGAGCGCAACCCUUAUCCUUUGUUGCCAGCGGUCCGGCCGGGAACUCAAAGGAGACUGCCAGUGAUAAACUGGAGGAAGGUGGGGAUGACGUCAAGUCAUCAUGGCCCUUACGACCAGGGCUACACACGUGCUACAAUGGCGCAUACAAAGAGAAGCGACCUCGCGAGAGCAAGCGGACCUCAUAAAGUGCGUCGUAGUCCGGAUUGGAGUCUGCAACUCGACUCCAUGAAGUCGGAAUCGCUAGUAAUCGUGGAUCAGAAUGCCACGGUGAAUACGUUCCCGGGCCUUGUACACACCGCCCGUCACACCAUGGGAGUGGGUUGCAAAAGAAGUAGGUAGCUUAACCUUCGGGAGGGCGCUUACCACUUUGUGAUUCAUGACUGGGGUGAAGUCGUAACAAGGUAACCGUAGGGGAACCUGCGGUUGGAUCACCUCCUUACCUUAAAGAA
rnacentral:rRNA from 1 species